rnacentral:lncRNA from 1 species
GAGAUUUGAAAGAGAUUACAAGGAAAAUCUCCCAUAAGCACAAAAGGGCCAUUCAAAGUAAAAUAGAGAGAAGAAGAGCAUCCAAGUGAAUCCCAAAGCUUCCUCUCCAUCCGUGUGCUGCCUCGGGGAUCCUCUACUUCGUGCAAAAUCAGAAGAGGGGCAAGUGAAGAAGAAGCCGAGUUCCUCCAUCUACAAAUUAGUUUGAGGGCUUCUUCUCUUUUCUUUACUUAUUUACAUUUGCUAUAUUUGCUUAUUUGAGAAGCUUGUAUUUGAUUUAAACUCUUGUUCUAAUAUCUUGUAACUUGAUUCAAUCAAGGGAUUGAAUCAAGGGGUUAAGGUUUGUUGGUGAGCCUUUGGGGAAAACCAAUCGGGUUGAUUGUGAACCCGGAAAACAAUCAUUGUAAGGUUGUGGUUGGUGAGCCUUUGGGAAAACCAACUAGGUUGGAUUGUGAGCCCGUGAAAACAAUCGGUAGGUUCUAGUCGGUGAGCCUGUAAAAACCGACCGAGUUCGUUGUGAUCUCGCAAAACAACAAGUUGGGUUGUGAGCUUGUAAAACAACCGACUGUAAUCUAAGGAAUUAUAGUG